AUGAACGCUGGCGGCGUGCCUAACACAUGCAAGUCGAGCGAUUCUCUUCGGAGAAGAGCGGCGGACGGGUGAGUAACGCGUGGGUAACCUGCCCUGUACACACGGAUAACAUACCGAAAGGUAUGCUAAUACGGGAUAAUAUAAGAAAUUCGCAUGUUUUUCUUAUCAAAGCUCCGGCGGUACAGGAUGGACCCGCGUCUGAUUAGCUAGUUGGUGAGGUAACGGCUCACCAAGGCGACGAUCAGUAGCCGACCUGAGAGGGUGAUCGGCCACAUUGGAACUGAGACACGGUCCAAACUCCUACGGGAGGCAGCAGUGGGGAAUAUUGCACAAUGGGCGAAAGCCUGAUGCAGCAACGCCGCGUGAGCGAUGAAGGCCUUCGGGUCGUAAAGCUCUGUCCUCAAGGAAGAUAAUGACGGUACUUGAGGAGGAAGCCCCGGCUAACUACGUGCCAGCAGCCGCGGUAAUACGUAGGGGGCUAGCGUUAUCCGGAUUUACUGGGCGUAAAGGGUGCGUAGGCGGUCUUUUAAGUCAGGAGUGAAAGGCUACGGCUCAACCGUAGUAAGCUCUUGAAACUGGAGGACUUGAGUGCAGGAGAGGAGAGUGGAAUUCCUAGUGUAGCGGUGAAAUGCGUAGAUAUUAGGAGGAACACCAGUAGCGAAGGCGGCUCUCUGGACUGUAACUGACGCUGAGGCACGAAAGCGUGGGGAGCAAUCAGGAUUAGAUACCCUGGUAGUCCACGCCGUAAACGAUGAGUACUAGCUGUCGGAGGUUACCCCCUUCGGUGGCGCAGCUAACGCAUUAAGUACUCCGCCUGGGGAGUACGCUCGCAAGAGUGAAACUCAAAGGAAUUGACGGGGACCCGCACAAGUAGCGGAGCAUGUGGUUUAAUUCGAAGCAACGCGAAGAACCUUACCUAAGCUUGACAUCCUUUUGACCGAUGCCUAAUCGCAUCUUUCCCUUCGGGGACAGAAGUGACAGGUGGUGCAUGGUUGUCGUCAGCUCGUGUCGUGAGAUGUUGGGUUAAGUCCCGCAACGAGCGCAACCCUUGCCUUUAGUUGCCAUCAUUAAGUUGGGCACUCUAGAGGGACUGCCAGGGAUAACCUGGAGGAAGGUGGGGAUGACGUCAAAUCAUCAUGCCCCUUAUGCUUAGGGCUACACACGUGCUACAAUGGGUGGUACAGAGGGCAGCGAAGUCGUGAGGCCAAGCUAAUCCCUUAAAGCCAUUCUCAGUUCGGAUUGUAGGCUGAAACUCGCCUACAUGAAGCUGGAGUUACUAGUAAUCGCAGAUCAGAAUGCUGCGGUGAAUGCGUUCCCGGGUCUUGUACACACCGCCCGUCACACCAUGGGAGUUGGGGGCGCCCGAAGCCGGCUAGCUAACCUUUUGGAAGCGGUCGUCGAAGGUGAAACCAAUAACUGGGGUG
rnacentral:rRNA from 1 species